rnacentral:rRNA from 1 species
UACGUAGGGGGCAAGCGUUGUCCGGAAUCAUUGGGCGUAAAGCGCGUGUAGGCGGUCCGAUCAGUCGGCUGUGAAAGUCCAGGGCUCAACCCUGGGAUGCCGGUCGAUACUGUCGGGCUAGAGUCCGGAAGAGGCGAGUGGAAUUCCCGGUGUAGCGGUGAAAUGCGCAGAUAUCGGGAGGAACACCAAUGGCGAAGGCAGCUCGCUGGGACGGUACUGACGCUGGGACGCGAAAGCGUGGGGAGCGAACAGG